GGAAUCUUCCACAAUGGACGCAAGUCUGAUGGAGCAACGCCGCGUGAGUGAAGAAGGCUUUCGGGUCGUAAAACUCUGUUAUUGAAGAAGAACGUGUGUGACAGUAACUGGUCAUGCAGUGACGGUAUUCAAUCAGAAAGUCACGGCUAACUACGUGCCAGCAGCCGCGGUAAUACGUAGGUGGCAAGCGUUGUCCGGAUUUAUUGGGCGUAAAGCGAGUGCAGGCGGUCUUUUAAGUCUGAUGUGAAAGCCUUCGGCUUAACCGAAGAAGGGCAUCGGAAACUGGGAGACUUGAGUGCAGAAGGA
rnacentral:rRNA from 1 species